rnacentral:lncRNA from 1 species
CUUUAGGAGUGUUACUAUCUAGCAAGAUGUUAAAGCAAAUUUGUUAGUAACUUUCCUCUGACUGUGUGGAUAAGUUUAACACUGAGCAGAAUGCACAAAUUUGAAUUCAAUCUUACCAGCUGGUUGGAAUGUACGGCAAAAUAUUUUUUUGGAUUUCAGAGAAAGUAGUAGCUGCCCAUUUCUGCAUCCUGGCUGCAUCCGUGAGCCUGGUUCUCUGAAGUCAGAGCUUGUUUGUGAUCGUGACUUUGCUCCCAGGUGCCUGGUACCCAAGGAAAGCAUGCAAACAGAGGCAGCAAAGGCUGUCUUAAGCGGAAUUCCAACCAGAUGUAGCGGAAGGGGUCCAGAGUUUCCGCUCCAGCGAACAGGCUCUCCAUGAUGUUGGGCUAACAGCAGUUGAGGAUCUUUCCACGCCAGAAAUGGGGGGAGGGUAUGUCUAAUGCAAAGAGAAAUAAAGUUCUGUAAGUUCUGUAAGUGCCA